GACGAACCAUCCAAACGUUAUUCGGAAUCACUGGGCUUAAAGGGUGCGUAGGCGGCCCGAUAAGUUGGGUGUGAAAUACCUCAGCUCAACUGAGGAAUGGCGCCCAAUACUGUCGGGCUCGAGGAAGACAUAGGUGAGCGGAACUUAGGGUGGAGCGGUGAAAUGCGUUGAUAUCCUAAGGAACACCAGUAGCGAAAGCGGCUCACUGGGUCUUAUCUGACGCUGAGGCACGAAAGCCAGGGGAGCGAACGGG
rnacentral:rRNA from 1 species